GGUCAGCUGGUGCAAUUGGUAACUCAUUGGAUCGGCAAUCCAAAGAUGUGGGUUCAAGCCCCACGUUGACCA